UCCCCGGGUCGCGCCCUAUGGAGGUCCGCGCGCACUUUGGAACCCACUCCGCUGCAGGUUGCGGGGCGACAGAAGCCGGGAGCUCCCGCUCUACUCCGAGCUUGGUGCUACCUGUACGAUGUCCCCAAACGGCCCAGGACGAGCUGUUCAUUCGGGCUACCCGGUACCACAUGCUCACGAAACGGACCCAACUCACAAGAGUCUCAAAACGCGGAGGCAUAACCCGCUACUGCGAGUCAUUUUUGCACUCUGAGCAGAGCAGGCCCGAAGAAAAAGGAAGCUAGUAGCCCUCACUGCUACUGGCAUGCCUUUGAAAUGCUGUGCAUUUCAAGGGAGCUGCCUAAGGAGGAACAGAUAGUGUGGACAGCACAGAGGAGAGAUGGACAGAAACCGGGUCAUGAUGACAUUGUUAAGCUGCUAGAUCAACGAACCUUGGAGCCUGUCCAAUAACUGGACUCUUCAUUCAUAGUACGAAUGAGCAGAGAGAGAGAGCAGAGAGAAAGGAAGGCAGAGAAUCCAAAGCAGACUCCACACCGUCAACACAGAGGCCCAAUGUGGGGCUCGAAUUCACAAACUGUGGGAUCAUGACCUAAGCCGAAAUCAAGAGUUGGACGCUCAACCGACUGAACCACCCAGGUGCCCCAAGGUAAGUGUACUUUUAAUUCUCUUUCACCUAUUCCCCAUCCAUGCUGCACAUAAAUGCAAUCCCUAUCAAAAUACUAACAUUUUUCACAGAAUUAGAAUAAUCCUAAAAUUUAUGGAAUCACAAAAGAUCCCGAAGAGCCAAAGCAAUCUUGAAAAAGAACAAAGCUGGAGGAAUCACAAUCCUAGAUUUUACGAUAUACUACAAAGCUGUGGUAAUAAAAACAUGAUACUGGCAUCAAAACAGACACAUAGAUCAAUGGAACAAAAUAGAGUCCAGAAAUAAGCCACACUUUUAUGGUAAAUUAAUUUAUGACAAAGACGGCAAGAAUAUAGAAUGGGGAAGACAAUCUUCAGCAAAUGAUACUAGGGAACUGGACCUCUUUCUUACACCACAUACAAAAAUAAAUUCAAAAUAAAGACCUAAAUGUGAGACCCGAAUCCAUAAAAUUCCUACAAGAAAACAUAGGCAAGUAUCCAUCCCUCCGAUUCUUUGACAUCAGUCAUAGAUAACAUUUUUCUAGAUAUGUCUCCUCUGGCAAAAGAAACAAGAGCACAAUUAAACUAUUGAGACUAUACCAAAAUGAAAAGCUUUUGCCCAGUGAAGGAAACCAUCGACGAAACAAAAAAGGCAACCUACUGAAUGGGAGAAGCUAGUUGCAAGUGAUACAUCCAAUAAGGGGUUAAUAUCCAAACUGUAUAAAGAACUUACACAACGGGCUCUGUGCUGACAGCUCAGAGCCUGGAACCUGUUUCAGAUUCUGUGUCUCCCUCUCUCUCUGACCCUCCCCCAUUCAUGCUCUGUUUCUCUGUCU